GAGAGAAUCCCAUGAGGGGCAGGGAGAGGGGUGGGGGAGAGAGAGAGAGAAAAGCGGCUUUUACCCAAAGCGGGGCUGGUGUUCACCUGAAGCAGGUUCACCUGAUUGGGACUCAAACUCACGAACUAUGAGAUCGUGACCUGAGCUGAAUGAAGUCAGAUACUUAACGACCGAGCCACCCAGGUGCCCUCCUUAUAUCGUUUUAAUCUGUGCAUUGAUAAUAGUAUAAAGUUGAACUUCCUCCUUCUUUGCUUUAAAAUUUAUUUUAAAGCUCCUUUAUAUGAGUAUAUAGAGAAAAGGCAAGAUUACCUACUAUGAGAGCAAAAGCCCUAUAGAAGUUGUAAUUGAAAUGGGAUUCCUAAAGUGGGAAAUAAUUUAACUUUUCUAAAUUAGAAAUAUUAAUCGUCCCCUGUUUCUCAUUGGGAUAUUUUCAUAAUACCCUUAAUACCUAUGUAAUAGUUGUAUUGAUCUAGAAAUUUCUACAGUUCUUUCUGAAAUAUUUAGUGUGCAGUGGAAAUUUGGUUUUGUUUGAGAAAACUGAUUAUAUUGUAAGUUUAUAUCUACGUGAGGAUCAUGAUAAGAAGAGAAGAAAGGGCAGUAUCAGAGGCUGGCAGACUAGGAAAAAAUUUCAGAAUUUCUAAGUAGAUGAACACAUGCUUUGAAUUUGAGGAGAAAAGAAUGCUGGACAAAUUCAGGCUGUGUGUGGAAUGCCACAAAUCCAUUUGCAGUUGGAAUCCGUUGUAUAGAUGUCCACAGUGUUCAGAUUCCUUGUGUUGUAACUCCAGUUUAUUGGUUUAUUUUUUUUUUUAUUGUCCCAUGCCAGUAGUUGUCUCUUUGGCCUAAUGACCAGGAAAUAUAUGAAACAAUUUUAUUUAUUUGCUGUUUUUUUCUAGCUUUAUUGAGGUAUGAUGGCAAAUAUGAAAGAAUUUUGAGUGGUUAUGUCUCUUUGAAUUAUCACAAAAUAACUCUGUUGCAGUAAUAAAGCACAGGUCUCACAAAGGCAAAAAUAAUUUUGGGGUUCGAGGAACUCUGUUUUAUGACUGACCUUUUUGGUAUAUGUUCCAAAAAUAUUUAGGUUGAUUUGUAGAGACUCCAAGUUGAGCUGAUCUGAUAGAGAUAUGUUCAGUUAGUACCAUAAUAUUUACAUUGGCAUUAAUGUUUAUGCCUAAAAUGUUUUCUUGUUUCUUUGCCUUUUUUGGGUUUUUUUGGACAUUGAAAGUUUGAAAAGUAUAUGUAAAUAUGGUAUAGUUCACAUAGAGUGAGCCACACAUAGAACUGUCUCAUCCUUUAUAUCAGCUGAAUAUUAGUCCAUUGAUGCUAAUGCCCAUUAAUGGACAGGUAGGGUUUUCUUUCUCCUCUUUUAACAUGUGUGGUGAACAGAGAUGAUUAUUUGGUAGUAAUUUAAAUUCUUGACAUUAUCAUGAAACUAAUAUUAUGAUGCCACUAAGAAUACAUUCUUUAAAAACAAAUUACUUUCCCCCCUAUUUGAAGUUAAAUUGUUGUCUUAGAAUAGUCUAGUUUGUCCAAAUUCUAAUCGUAUUUCUUGCUCUUGGCUAUUUAGAGCAAGGGUGAAGCUUGAAUUGAAGAGUACUUCCUGCUUUAGCAUUUAAGGACUGGUUGCAGCAGUGGGAUUCAUAUUCUCAGUUCCAUUCCUGAUGAUUGGAUGCCUGAAGCAUAGGUAAAAAAAAUGAGGCUCUUAUCAUUUUAAUAAUUGGGGGUGGAACAAAAUAGAGAGCAGAUGGGAUUCAUAUAAAAUCCUCAUAUUCUUGACCAAUAUUUUGUAAGCAUGCAUGGUAACAUGACAGACAUUUCCUUUUAAAUAUAUAGCUCCCAGAAGAGCAAGGGAAAUCCCUGGGGGACAAACCAUAAACCACUUUCCUACCUGGGGGUUUUGAUAUUCUAACCAAAAUGCUUAGAUUUUAUUAGCAGUAUGUAGGUAAGAGGUAAGCCUUAGGCUUGCUUUGGGCGAGAAUUAGAUCUAAGACUCGAUUCCCCCUUUGACUCUUGGCAUUAAAAUCCACUAGUCUCCCAAUCUAGCCCUGGCCUUUUGAAGGGGAAAAUCUCUCCUGAAAUUUGAUAGUCACAGUCCUCCCUCACUGAAAUUUGGGGUGUGAACUUAUUACUUCCUGCAUGAUCCAGAAACUUUCAAGCUGUGCAAUUAACAAGAUCAUCCCUGGUCAUAAUCCUGAACUCCUGGUGAAGACAAAUGCAUAAACUCUCUGCAGGGAGAUAUUCUCUAUUCACGCCCACACAUAAAUAAAGUUAUCAAAUACCCAAGAAAACAAUGUACAUUGAGUCAGCAGAUGAAUUAGAUAUAUAAGAACCUUAUAUAACAGGAUUAUUGGAUAUGGACUAUGAAAUAGUUUAAAGUAUAUUUAAAAUGCCUAAACAAAUAAAAGAUCUAUUGUUGUAAGAGUAAGAUACUACAAAAACAGACCAUUGAUAUUUGAAAAAGAGUAAAAUAGAACUUCUACAAUAAAUACAGGCUUUGGAAUACAAAAUUCAAUGCAUAUGUUAAACAACUGAACAGAGGUUUGGUGAACUGGAAGACAGAUAGGAAAAAACUUACCCAGAAAACAGUACACAUAAAGGAAUGGGCACUGUGAAAGAAUUUAACAAGAUGCAGAGU